CAGUGGGUGCGCCUGUGUUUAUGAAGUCAUUUGGAAUAUCUGCAUGUAACCACUGGCACUACGAGGAGAGAGUAUAUGCAGAAAGUUAAUCUUCUCUGCUCCAGUGAGCACUGUGUAGAAAUGAGCUGGCUCAGAAAUGCAGCAGGUGGCCCCAAACUACAGUACAUGGGCACUCUAAACCUCCAGGGGCAGGCAUGUUUUGACAUCAUUCCUGGAAGGUGGCACAGCUGGGACUGACAAUGCAGUAUGUCAGCCAAUCCCCUUUUGAGAAGAUGGACUUUCAGCAAUUUAGGGUUGCAUUUUUCAAAUCAGCCACCAGAUGACUAGAUGCCAAAAUACUACGAUCGCAGCUUCCUGAGAGCAGUAUUGCAGGCUUCCUGGUUUAGGAAUUACAUUUCUCCCAUAUCCUC